CUACGUGCCAGCAGCCGCGGUAAUACGUAGGUCCCGAGCGUUGUCCGGAUUUAUUGGGCGUAAAGCGAGCGCAGGCGGUUAGAUAAGUCUGAAGUUAAAGGCUGUGGCUUAACCAUAGUAUGCUUUGGAAACUGUUUAACUUGAGUGCAGAAGGGGAGAGUGGAAUUCCAUGUGUAGCGGUGAAAUGCGUAGAUAUAUGGAGGAAUACCGGUGGCGAAGGCGGCCCCCUGGACAAAGACUGACGCUCAGGUGCGAAAGCGUGGGGAGCAAACAGGAUUAGAUACCCUGGUAGUCCACGCCGUAAACGAUGUCGAUUUGGAGGUUGUGCCCUUGAGGCGUGGCUUCCGGAGCUAACGCGUUAAAUCGACCGCCUGGGGAGUACGGCCGCAAGGUUAAAACUCAAAUGAAUUGACGGGGGCCCGCACAAGCGGUGGAGCAUGUGGUUUAAUUCGAUGCAACGCGAAGAACCUUACCUGGUCUUGACAUCC
rnacentral:rRNA from 1 species